AGUUUUAUCCUGCUCAGGAUUACCGCUGGCGGCGUGCGUACACAUGCAAGUCGAACGUCCUUCUUCGCAAGGACAGGGAUAGCGACGGGUAGUAACACAUGGGUGACCUAUCCUCGGUGAGGAAUACCGGGGCGAAAGCCGCGACAAGACCGCAUAGGGCCUGCCUGGUCAUGCAGGCAGGGCAAAGGUGCUCCGCAAGGAGUGCCCUUUCAGGAGGGGCCUGUGGCCGAUUAACUGGUUGGUGAGGUAAUACCCUCACCAAGGCGACAAUCGGUAGCUGGUCUGAGAGGACGAGCAGCCACACUGGGAUUGAGAACGGCCCAGACUCCUACGGGGGGCAGCAGUGAGGAAUUUUCCGCAAUGGAGGCAACUCUGACGGAGCAGCGCCGCGUGCAGGAAGACGGUCUUCGGAUUGUAAACUGCUUUUCCCAGGGACGAGCACGGACGUACCUGGGGAA
rnacentral:rRNA from 1 species